rnacentral:rRNA from 1 species
AGUGAACGCUGGCGGUAGGCCUAACACAUGCCAGUCGAACGGCAGCACAGUAAGAGCUUGCUCUUACGGGUGGCGAGUGGCGGACGGGUGAGGAAUACAUCGGAAUCUACUUUUUCGUGGGGGAUAACGUAGGGAAACUUACGCUAAUACCGCAUACGACCUACGGGUGAAAGCAGGGGAUCUUCGGACCUUGCGCGAUUGAAUGAGCCGAUGUCGGAUUAGCUAGUUGGCGGGGUAAAGGCCCACCAAGGCGACGAUCCGUAGCUGGUCUGAGAGGAUGAUCAGCCACACUGGAACGGAGACACGGUCCAGACUCCUACGGGAGGCAGCAGUGGGGAAUAUUGGACAAUGGGCGCAAGCCUGAUCCAGCCAUACCGCGUGGGUGAAGAAGGCCUUCGGGUUGUAAAGCCCUUUUGUUGGGAAAGAAAAGCAGCAGGUUAAUACCCCGCUGUUCUGACGGUACCCAAAGAAUAAGCACCGGCUAACUUCGUG